CUUAGGAGCAAUGAUCUCUGUUGCUCCCAACACACACUUGUGGUAAGAGAAAUCUUCUGUUGUCCCAUCUGUUCUCACCACCUCAAAGCAACGAGCAUUCCCAUGCUUAGAAUUAGCCACCUGCAAAGACAAAACCAGGUCCUAUCUUCUCAUCUCUGUUGGGGUGGAAGAGAAGAGCCAUCAUCAGAAGUCUCCCAUCCCUCUCAUUCAACGGAGCAUCGAUCUCAUAACUAACAAAACAAAAGCCAAAAAAAAAAAAGGAUGAUUAAUCUUUACUGUUCUUGUAGCAAAAAGAAUUGAAAACCAAGAAAGGCUGUUAUGUUCCCUUACUUGUAGAGAAUGCGUUUCAGUGACCGAGAAAGCUUUUCGAUGUCGUCCCAUGUAAAUAUCAUUCUGAGCUGCGACCUUGUGAGUCCUUUCCCAUCAAGUGUUUUGACUGCUUUCGAGAGAGCGGUGUCGAGCGAGGGGAAUGACUGGACCGUGAACUUGUCUGAUUUGAGCAAGGAGCUUGUUGCACGCACAGCCUUUCUCUUUGGAAGUGUCGCUGUUUUACUCAGAAAGUCAUACACGUCUACCGGUGUGCUACUAAACCCAUGAUUCUGAUAAAACAUAUGGAGACACUAAAUAAAUAAGAACCAUUACAAGAACUUGUGAUUAAACAUAAUGUAAACGAAGUAGUUGUUACC